GACGAACGCUGGCGGCGUGCUUAACACAUGCAAGUCGAACGGAAAGGCCCUGCUUGCUGGGUACUCGAGUGGCGAACGGGUGAGUAACACGUGGGUGAUCUGCCCUGCACUUCGGGAUAAGCCUGGGAAACUGGGUCUAAUACCGGAUAGGAGCCAUUUUUAGUGUGAUGGUUGGAAAGUUUUUUCGGUGUAGGAUGAGCUCGCGGCCUAUCAGCUUGUUGGUGGGGUAAUGGCCUACCAAGGCGGCGACGGGUAGCCGGCCUGAGAGGGUGGACGGCCACAUUGGGACUGAGAGACGGCCCAGACGCCUACGGGAGGCAGCAGUGGGGAAUAUUGCACAAUGGGCGCAAGCCUGAUGCAGCGACGCCGCGUGGGGGAUGACGGCCUUCGGGUUGUAAACUCCUUUCGCUAGGGACGAAGCUUUUAGUGACGGUACCUAGAGAAGAAGCACCGGCUAACUACGUG
rnacentral:rRNA from 1 species